rnacentral:tRNA from 1 species
GCGCUGGUGGUGAAAGGCGUAACAUCGCUGCUCGGAAAGCAGUAUGUGCGGGUUCGAGUCCCGCCUGGCGCA